rnacentral:rRNA from 1 species
GUCCACGCCAUAAACGAUGAGAACUGGAUGUCGGAGGGGUCUGCCCUUCGGUGUCGUAGCUAACGCGUUAAGUUCUCCGCCUGGGGAGUACGGCCGCAAGGUUGAAACUCAAAUGAAUUGACGGGGACCCGCACAAGCGGUGGAGCAUGUGGUUUAAUUCGAUGCAACGCGAAGAACCUUACCUGGUCUUGACAUGUCUGGAAUUCUGCAGAGAUGCGGAAGUGCCUUCGGGAACCAGAACACAGGUGCUGCAUGGCUGUCGU